UUACGGCCAUAUCACGUUGAAACAUUGGUUCCCAUACAAUCACUGAAGUUAACUAACAUUGAGCCUGGUUAGUACCUAGAUGGAUAACUACUUGGGAAUAACAGGUGAUGUA